rnacentral:rRNA from 1 species
ACGGGAGGCAGCAGUGGGGAAUAUUGCACAAUGGGGGAAACCCUGAUGCAGCGAUGCCGCGUGGAGGAAGAAGGUUUUCGGAUUGUAAACUCCUGUCUUAAAGGACGAUAAUGACGGUACUUUAGGAGGAAGCUCCGGCUAACUACGUGCCAGCAGCCGCGGUAAUACGGAGGAUCCGAGCGUUAUCCGGAUUUAUUGGGUUUAAAGGGUGCGCAGGCGGGCUGCUAAGUCUCCGGUGAAAUGUCAGGGCUCAACCUUGGCACUGCCGGAGAUACUGGCGGCCUUGAGAGUGGCGGAGGUAUCCGGAAUGUGUGGUGUAGCGGUGAAAUGCAUAGAUAUCACACAGAACACCGAUUGCGAAGGCAGGAUACCAUACCAUAUCUGACGCUCAGGCACGAAAGCGUGGGGAUCGAACAGGAUUAGAUACCCUGGUA